rnacentral:rRNA from 1 species
ACUUAAAUUGAAGAGUUUGAUCAUGGCUCAGAUUGAACGCUGGCGGCAGGCCUAACACAUGCAAGUCGAGCGGUAGCACAGAGAGCUUGCUCUCGGGUGACGAGCGGCGGACGGGUGAGUAAUGUCUGGGAAACUGCCUGAUGGAGGGGGAUAACUACUGGAAACGGUAGCUAAUACCGCAUAACGUCGCAAGACCAAAGUGGGGGACCUUCGGGCCUCAUGCCAUCAGAUGUGCCCAGAUGGGAUUAGCUAGUAGGUGGGGUAAUGGCUCACCUAGGCGACGAUCCCUAGCUGGUCUGAGAGGAUGACCAGCCACACUGGAACUGAGACACGGUCCAGACUCCUACGGGAGGCAGCAGUGGGGAAUAUUGCACAAUGGGCGAAAGCCUGAUGCAGCCAUGCCGCGUGUAUGAAGAAGGCCUUCGGGUUGUAAAGUACUUUCAGCGAGGAGGAAGGCAUCAAGGUUAAUAACCUUGGUGAUUGACGUUACUCGCAGAAGAAGCACCGGCUAACUCCGUGCCAGCAGCCGCGGUAAUACGGAGGGUGCAAGCGUUAAUCGGAAUUACUGGGCGUAAAGCGCACGCAGGCGGUCUGUCA